CAAAAGCUCAAAUUUGAAAUCUGGUACCUUCGGUGCCCGAGUUGUAAUUUGGAGAGGGCAACUUUGGGGCCGUUCCUUGUCUAUGUUCCUUGGAACAGGACGUCAUAGAGGGUGAGAAUCCCGUGUGGCGAGGAGUGCGGUUCUUUGUAAAGUGCCUUCGAAGAGUCGAGUUGUUUGGGAAUGCAGCUCUAAGUGGGGGGUAAAUUCCAUCUAAAGCUAAAUAUUGGCGAGAGACCGAUAGCGAACAAGUACAGUGAUGGAAAGAUGAAAAGAACUUUGAAAAGAGAGUGAAAAAGUACCGUGAAAUUGUUGAAAGGGAAGGGCAUUUGAUCAGACAUGGUGUUUUGUGCCCUCUGCUCCUUGUGGG
rnacentral:rRNA from 1 species